UCCCUGGUGGUCCAGUGGUUAAGACUCUGCACUCCCAAUGCAAGGGGGCCUGGGUUUGAUCCCUAGUCAGGGAA